rnacentral:tRNA from 1 species
AAGAAGUUAGUUAAACAUCCAUAAUAUUGAAUUGUCAAAUCAAAGUUAUAAUAAUAUUACCUCUUG